AUACCUUUCUCGGCCUUUUGGCUAAGAUCAAGUGUAGUAUCUGUUCUUAUCAAGUGUAGUACCAAAGUCCCGAACAAGGAAAGCCUUCGCUCUAAGGGAAGUUGAAGGCUUCUGGGUGUGACACGUGUUUAGAGGUAAAUAAUCGUGAUUCCUCUCUCAUCUCGGGUACAAUAUGACCAUAUUUAUAGUCCGUACUCAACCACU